rnacentral:tRNA from 1 species
UUAAUUGAAGCCAAAAUAGAGGCGUGUUAUUGUUAAUAUCAUCAUUGGGUUUCCCCUUUUAAAGAAG